rfam:Ovis aries breed Texel chromosome 1, whole genome shotgun sequence.
UCUCUGGUAGCUCAAUGGCUAAGACUCUGUACUCCCAAUGCAGAGGUCCCAGGUUCUAUCCCUGGUCAGGGAA